GUUUAUUGAGUAUGAUAAGUAUAACUAAUUUCCAAUUAGGAGGAUCAAAUAUUGUUGAAAUGGAUA
rnacentral:tRNA from 1 species